rnacentral:rRNA from 1 species
UGGUGGGUAGUUUGACUGGGGCGGUCUCCUCCUAAAGAGUAACGGAGGAGCACGAAGGUUGGCUAAUCCUGGUCGGACAUCAGGAGGUUAGUGCAAUGGCAUAAGCCAGCUUGACUGCGAGCGUGACGGCGCGAGCAGGUGCGAAAGCAGGUCAUAGUGAUCCGGUGGUUCUGAAUGGAAGGGCCAUCGCUCAACGGAUAAAAGGUACUCCGGGGAUAACAGGCUGAUACCGCCCAAGAGUUCAUAUCGACGGCGGUGUUUGGCACCUCGAUGUCGGCUCAUCACAUCCUGGGGCUGAAGUAGGUCCCAAGGGUAUGGCUGUUCGCCAUUUAAAGUGGUACGCGAGCUGGGUUUAGAACGUCGUGAGACAGUUCGGUCCCUAUCUGCCGUGGGCGCUGGAGAACUGAGGGGGGCUGCUCCUAGUACGAGAGGACCGGAGUGGACGCAUCACUGGUGUUCGGGUUGUCAUGCCAAUGGCACUGCCCGGUAGCUAAAUGCGGAAGAGAUAAGUGCUGAAAGCAUCUAAGCACGAAACUUGCCCCGAGAUGAGUUCUCCCUGAGACUUUAAGUCUCCUGAAGGAACGUUGAAGACGACGACGUUGAUAGGCCGGGUGUGUAAGCGCAGCGAUGCGUUGAGCUAACCGGUACUAAUGAACCGUG